UCGUUUCACAAUGUUUCCAUCACCAUCAUCAGUGGAUGCCUUUGCCGUCCGUAGCCUGAGAUUUCAGAUUUGCAGCAAAAAAAAUUGAUUUUCUCAUUUAUUGGAAUGCUGUGCAGGUAUUUGUACCUUGCAGCCAUCCAUUACAAUGUCACCAAGCCGUAACAAAAGCAGGAGAGGGAAAGUACAAGGCUAUGUUCCCAAAACACAAAUGACAUACCUUAUGUGGAGGAUGUGAUCAGGCUUGUGUUUGAUGAGGUAUUUGAAGAUAAGCUGAAGGAAACCCCGAUUCCAAUGGACCUGGCAUCACAGUUUGAGAGACCUUCAAAGGAGGACGUGAUUGCAUGCCAG